AGCGCAUCAGACUUCUAAUCUGGGGGUUGUGGGUUCGAGUCCCACCGUGGACUUCAUUUUUUUAUCUCUAGCA
rnacentral:tRNA from 1 species